CAGAGAAAACACGGGCUGUUUAUUUGAAUAGCUGCUUGUCGUGGUGGCAAUGGUGGCGGAGGGGAUGGUUGUUUCUGAUGACUUCAUUAUGACUAUGUUUGCUAUCAGUUUCUCUCACAACAGUUGUGACGAGCUCCCUGUAACAGGGAUCGGGUGCUCACCCGAGGGCGUGAGGUACCGAUAUGACGCAGUAACGAUUGACGGUCAUUACACGUAUCCACACUCCCGGCUUUUCAGGGUGCACCAACCCUUAUCUGUAUCAUUUAUUCUGUGAUUGAUCCGUUCGCCCGUCUGUCAGCUCGUGCUACUUGACGUGUCAGAACAGUAUGUGGUACCCCACCCUUUUGAGUGUACUUGCUAUUCUUGUGUGUUAUUGCCUUCCAGAGCCACACCCUCGUCGACUUUAUUGGAUUAUUAUGUGCUUGAGUAUUUUUAUAUUCUUAAAGUAUUAGGUACAUAUUUUUAAUUGUUUGUUGGGGUUUUUUAUUUCUUUUAUUUAUUUUAUUUUUUUUUUUUUUGUGCUUUUCUUUCAUUUUUUUCUUCUUUCCUUUUUAAGUUGUAGGCACAAACAAAACAUGCAAUUAAGUUUAACACCCCUUCAACACGUAUGUCAAUAUUUGUCUACAGAAGAGCAAGGACUAUCCAUAAUGCAAUGUGCAUUAGUAGUUGGUGAUCACAGUAUUUUCGUCGUUUUGACAAGAGAUGCUUGCCCACCAAGCUGUAACUCAGCAGUUGGAUGACAGGGCUGCCACCAUCUUGAGCCGCAAGCCAAGCAUUGGGGGUCCUGCACGUGCGGCUACAGAAGCCAGUAAAAGCCACCAGCCAGACCCCCCACAAACGGUUGGUCGUGUAGAAGCCUGGUGACAGAGGAAUGUUUACAUGUAAAGCCCUCCAUUGACAGCAGAUGGAACAGAUAUGAUCAGCUUUUGUUCUACUUCGUGAAGUACUGCCACAGAUCUUGCUGCUGAGGAUGAGGACAGAUGUUUCUGCGAGUCAACACACUACAAAAACGACCAAAAAGCGUUUCUGACGUAGAAGUUCAAAUAUUAAUCGAUAAAGCAAUAUAAACGCUCAA
rnacentral:lncRNA from 1 species